UACGUAGGGACCAGGCGUUGUCCGGAAUCAUUGGGCGUAAAGAGCGUGUAGGCGGCUUGUUAAGUCUUGCGUGAAAUCUCGGGGCUCAACCCCGAGCGGUCGUGAGAAACUGGCAGGCUAGAGUGCGGGAGAGGAGAGUGGAAUUCCUGGUGUAGCGGUGAAAUGCGCAGAUAUCAGGAAGAACACCCGUGGCGAAGGCGGCUCUCUGGAACGCAACUGACGCUGAGACGCGAAAGCGUGGGGAGCAAACAGG
rnacentral:rRNA from 1 species